rnacentral:rRNA from 1 species
ACGAGCGGCGAACGGGUGAGUAACACGUGAGUAAUCUGCCCUCCACUUCGGGAUAAGCCUCGGAAACGGGGUCUAAUACCGGAUAUGACCACUUCAUGCAUGUGAUGGUGGUGGAAAGUUUUUCGGUGGGGGAUGUGCUCGCGGCCUAUCAGCUUGUUGGUGGGGUAAUGGCCUACCAAGGCUUCGACGGGUAGCCGGCCUGAGAGGGUGACCGGCCACACUGGGACUGAGACACGGCCCAGACUCCUACGGGAGGCAGCAGUGGGGAAUAUUGGACAAUGGGCGGAAGCCUGAUCCAGCAACGCCGCGUGAGGGAUGACGGCCUUCGGGUUGUAAACCUCUUUCAGUGGGGACGAAGCGCAAGUGACGGUACCCACAGAAGAAGCACCGGCCAACUACGUGCCAGCAGCCGCGGUAAUACGUAGGGUGCGAGCGUUGUCCGGAAUUAUUGGGCGUAAAGGGCUCGUAGGCGGUUUGUCGCGUCGGGAGUGAAAACACUGGGCUUAACUCAGUGCUUGCUUCCGAUACGGGCAGACUAGAGGUAUUCAGGGGAGAACGGAAUUCCUGGUGUAGCGGUGAAAUGCGCAGAUAUCAGGAGGAACACCGGUGGCGAAGGCGGUUCUCUGGGAAUUACCUGACGCUGAGGAGCGAAAGUGUGGGGAGCGAACAGGAUUAGAUACCCUGGUAGUCCACACCGUAAACGUUGGGCG